rnacentral:lncRNA from 1 species
CCACAUAAGUGUGUGUAUGUAUGUGUGUAUAUAUGUAUAUAUACAAAAUGCUCCCGACCUGACUAUAGAAACGUAUUCCUGAUUUCACCAUCCAUACAUGUAUUUUUCUCAACUGGUUUACUGCCUUGGUUUUACAUAUUAUCCACUGAAGGACUUCCAUAAGCCAUCUUAUAUGUCACAAUCACUCUUUUGACAUCACUUGACCAUCAAUAAUCUCAAACUUCCUGUGAUGCAGCUGCCUUCCAGCUACUGCUACUGGGACAAAAGAAUGGUUCUCAGCCAAGUUUCCCCAGCUAAUGUCAACUAAGCCAUUUUUGAGAGAAGCACCCUUGACAACAGCUUUUCUGUUAUUGUUUUCAAAAUGUGGGGCAAAGAGGAAAUACGAAGAUAAAUAUACUCAAACUUUCCAAUAUGGCCACAAGGUUGCAUGCCUCCAAAGAAUGUUAAGAUUCAAGACAAGCCUCUAAAGUUGAUCAUGGACAAAGAGUCUCUGGACCUAGCGCUUGUUCUUCAUGAUCUAUACUACCACGGUGAUCUCCAGAUCACCAGUGUCAAAAUGGCCUGGGUUUGUAUGAAGGCACGUUUUUGGACCCCAUCCCAGGCCUGCUAAAUUAUGGAGACAAGGAAUGGACACUGUUUAAAUCACUCACCUCCCCACCCCAGGGAUCCUUCUGCAUCCUGGACUUUGACACUCACUCCUCUAUGACUCUGUUAUCUCACACAAGUAUAUGAAAUAAUAUAUGACCAUUUGGAAUAAAGGCUGCCUAAACAUUAGGGAUAAAAAAGAACUUGAAAACUAAUUAGCAGUGCUUACUACACUCAUCUUCUCAAAAUCCAAGAUGUCAAAAUUAAAGUUUUCUGACUUCAUUACUCCUAA